GACGAACGCUGGCGGCGUGCUUAACACAUGCAAGUCGAACGGAAAGGCCCUGCUUUUGUGGGGUGCUCGAGUGGCGAACGGGUGAGUAACACGUGAGUAACCUGCCCUUGACUUUGGGAUAACUUCAGGAAACUGGGGCUAAUACCGGAUAGGAGCUCCUGCUGCAUGGUGGGGGUUGGAAAGUUUCGGCGGUUGGGGAUGGACUCGCGGCUUAUCAGCUUGUUGGUGGGGUAGUGGCUUACCAAGGCUUUGACGGGUAGCCGGCCUGGGAGGGUGACCGGCCACAUGGGGACUGAGAUACGGCCCAGAUUCCUACGGGAGGCAGCAGUGGGGAAUAUUGCACAAGGGGCGGAAGCCGGAGGCAGCAACGCCGCGGGCGGGAUGACGGCCUUCGGGUUGUAAACCGCUUUCGCCUGUGACGAAGCGUGAGUGACGGUAAUGGGUAAAGAAGCACCGGCUAACUACGU
rnacentral:rRNA from 1 species